rnacentral:rRNA from 1 species
UACGGAGGGUGCAAACGUUGCUCGGAAUCAUUGGGCGUAAAGCGCACGUAGGCGGCGAAGCAAGUCGGGUGUGAAAGCCCUGGGCUCAACCCAGGAAGUGCAUUCGAAACUAUUUCGCUUGAAUCUCGGAGGGGGUCAGAGAAUUCCCGGUGUAGAGGUGAAAUUCGUAGAUAUCGGGAGGAAUACCAGUGGCGAAGGCGCUGACCUGGACGAAGAUUGACGCUGAGAUGCGAAAGCGCGGGGAGCAAACAGG